UACGAAGGGUGCAAACGUUGCUCGGAAUUAUUGGGCGUAAAGCGCACGUAGGCGGCUUUGCAAGUCGGAUGUGAAAUCCCUCGGCUUAACCAAGGAAGUGCACCCGAAACUGCAGAGCUUGAGUACUUAAGAGGAUCGCGGAAUUCCCGGUGUAGAGGUGAAAUUCGUAGAUAUUCGGAAGAACACCAGUGGCGAAGGCGGCUCACUGGUCCGGUACUGACGCUGAUGUGCGAAAGCGUGGGGAGCAAACAGG
rnacentral:rRNA from 1 species